GGAGUAGUAGGACCUGUGUAAAUCCUGUCAGUAACCAAAUGACUAAAGAGAUCCGCGAUGUGUAAGAGAAACAUGUAAUAGCCUGUAAAUUCAGGCGGUGCAGCCAAACGCUUGAGAUUGAACGACAGAAAAAUAAAAAGAACCAUCUAUAGUGAAAGGAAUCAAAAAAGACAAUGGAAGGACGAAAGAAAGAAAAAUUGGAAACGAAGGAAAGUAGUAAUAUUAUCUGCUUAAGCCAGCGGUUCUCAACCUGUGGGGCGCGCUCCCCUGCGGGGGAGGGGGGGCGACGUGGUUACAAAGGGGGGGGAGGCGCGAAGGUGGUCAUUUUUUUAAAGUUUCUUAUACCAGUUUUAGUGAAAUUAGCUUACAUUGCCGGCUAAGGGGGCGCGUGGAUGUACCUUUGUUCGUCAGGGGGGCGUCACAAGUAAAAGGUUGAGAACCGCUGGCUUAAGCAAUCAACGCAUUUUGUUAGAGAGGAAUCAAUGUUUUACAUGUCUGAUAACAUACACGAAUCUGUUUUUAUCUCGGAAAAUAAACAUUGUUUUUGAUGCUUUAACCUGCUAAAUUUUCUCCCUGGAUAUCUUGGGAAGUUUUGGGAAGUAUAAGCACAUAAUUUUCUUCCAUAAAGCAAUGCUUUAUUUCUUACAUGAAUAUUUAGCAUUAUAUAAUUUCGUGUUUGCGUUUCUCAAAAUUGUACUCGCCUAACAUCCUCCCGUUCGUGUAUGUGUACAUGUGUACGGGGUGUGUGUGCGUUUGUGUGUGUGAGAGAGAGAGAGAGCCAUUACUUUUGAUAUGAAGAUAAAUAAGUAGAUAUAUGUUUAUAAUCUAUAUAUAAUCAGAUUUAUUGUCCAGUCUGCAUCGUGGCAGAUGCUGUGUUUGAUACAUUUGAAAACUGAAAGGAAGAAGUUCCGUGUCUAUAAGCUCAUUUUUAUCUUACACUUCCGUGUUAUUUCUACCCCAAAGCUUGUGUCGAUAGCAGAUAGUCAGUAGUAGAAAUCUAGAAGUAACUUGCAACUCCCGAGUUAACAGGAGAAAUGCACAAAAUGUUUUCAGCUUCAACUGCUGCAUAUGUUGCUUAUGUCUUGCUCGUACACCAAACACUUUCACAGGAAGCCUGUACUGAACUAACAUUUCAUGACUUUAAGGAAGAGGACCUAUCAGUUGUUGAAAAUCAAUUCGUUAAUGUGACUUUCUGGGUGAACGUGUCGACAUGUAACGAGAAGAAUACAUCCCACAAAAUAAUUGUUCGCACCAGGACAAAAACCGGAAGUCUAGAGUAUGACGGGACGAUUACCUACUGGAAAGACACGUGUACUGAGAGACAAGGGAAGUCAGUUCAGUGCAUCAGCCCAACAGGUCCAGCAGAGCUGAACAGAACAGUGAACCGCUCUCACGUGCAGAUUGAGUGGGAGUUGACUUUUGCACAGUCUGGUCACUCUUCGUUUGUACUAAUGAACCUUACUGUGUUGUAUCCACCAAAGGUUACAAGUCUGACUGUGAAUAGAAGAGAGGUCCAUCAUACUCAUGUCAUUAAUGAAGGUGAAGAGGUCGACAUCUCCUGCUUAUUCGAUGAAGGAAACCCUCCCACCAAAUUCAUCCUUGUAGAUAAAGCUGGAAAAGAAAUAAACGCCUCAAGAGGAGAACAACAUCUUAACCAUUCACUUAAUGCUCAGUGUCAAGACGACUGGCCCAUCAUCCAGUGUGAAGGAUUGGGCUCGACAAUGAACAAAUCUGUCACCUUUCUUGUCAGAUGUAAGCCUCAGUUUAUCAAAAAGUCUCCCAAUCUCCACCCUGGAAUAUACCAACGAUGGGAGUUUAACAUAAAAGCCUACACCACUGUUGUAGAUAAAUGUAUACUAGUGUCUUUGUCAUCUGGAGAAAACUGGAGAAAAGAAGUGAACUGUACCCUGACUGGAGAUCCACCUAACCUGAAUUUGACGGUUGUAAUUUUAAACGACAGCAUCACAGGUGGAAAUUGGUCGUUAAAUAUCAGUAUUGAAGGAGGACUUUCAGAAACAUUAUUUUCUCGUUACCCUCAGUUACAGUUACAGAAAAUUCGUUGUCCAGUUCAGAAGAAACCCUUGGUCCUGAAUUUGUGGUUAUUAUUUUGUUGGGUGUCAUUGUCUUCACUGCAACAAUUGUUGUUGUUCUUGUUGCCAUAAAGAGGAUGAGGAAACAGGCUGACAGUAAGUUAUUUAAAUAAAUAGUUAAAUUUCUUAGUAAUUAUAUUUUGCCGUGGUUAUUUCAACAAAAUUAUUGACAUUAAAUUGCAAAGCUCCAUUAUUUGUUCUUUAUUUGUUGCAGGAAAAAUCAAAUCGUUUUGUCCACAGUACUUGUGAACUUGUGAAAAUAUGAAAGGAACUUUGUAUAAUGUCUUUUUAAAUAAAAUCUUUGUCGUUUAUUUUUACAUAAAGUUCUCUGUUUCUUUUGUACUAGGCAGAGGGAUCAGGUGAGUAUCCUUUUAUAGGCUUUUUACAGUAUUUCUUUUAAAUUAUUUUUAUAUGUUGUUAUAUUAACGUAUUAAAAGACACGUAGUCCCUGAUGAUAGCUAUCUCAUGUAUGCAUCGACAAAAGUUUUGAUGUAGAAUUGCAUUUUAUCAGUAUUAAUCAGUAAAUAUAAUCAAUUUAUAGAGACUGCAAUUGCAUUUGUACUAAAACGUGCAUCUAUACAAGUUGCCAUUAUACCAACACAGACCUUGUUCAGCAAAAGAAACCCUAAGCAAAAAAGAGGGUACACAAUACUGUCACUUAAAGAUAAAAAAGACAACAAUAGACCGUAAAUACGCUCGAAUCAAGCUUUACAUUAGUGUUGUUUGCUAUCUACUCUAAUGUGAUAAGUGUUAAAAGGGUAAUAGAUAAAAGUGUCAUUUCUUAUGAAAAAGAAAAGGAUUUCUAGGUUUCUUCAGUCAAAAUAAGAAUCUAUUUUAUGGUUUGAAGAUCAUGAACACAGAAACUUCCUCAUUGUAAACAAAUCACGUCUUUACAGGGAUAGAGAUGAGAGCAGAGUUUCAACAGAAAAUGUGCGGGAAAUUUUUACACGUAAGUGGCUCCCAUACUUCUUAAACUGUAAUAGCAUAGGUAUUUAUUGAUGUGGUUGUUCCUUCCUGUAAUUCUUUCACAUACUUCUUCCGUCUUUCUUUUAUAUUAUGACCUUUUCUUCCCCCCCCCUUUUUUUUUAUCGUUGUCGAGUACAGGGUGUCGCGUGUGGGAAGAGUGUAGUAAGGUUUCUGGUUCUUCUAAAAAGAAACUUUUACAGGCCUUGCGUGCAAAGUUGGGGAAUCUGUCAUUCGCGGUAGACUAAUUGUCUUCUCCGGAAACGCAGAGAUGUCCAGCGGACAAUCCCGGCGGCACGAAAAAGUUGAUGGCUAGUUGCCAAUCACCCUGUCUGUCACAUCAGGUGGAAAUAAUAUGGUUCCCCAAUAACAUCUUUUUUUAACUGACCAAAUUGACGUAUACUUAUUUUUCUGCCUGCUGGGACCUAGAGGGGUUUGUACAUCGUUGCAGAAUUGUCGUGAAUCAGGGUUGGGCGACCACCUCUGUAUUUAGUUCGGGUGCGAAAAUUUUGCGGUAGGAGCAGGUAUGUUUCGGAAAGAUUUAUGCCGGUUUGGUGGUGACUGUUGCCCUGACAGUUAUGGUACGUAGUAUUCAAGUGUUGACAUGUGCAGCUAAUUUUUCCUUCCAAAAUCAGAGAAAAAAAUGAAACUUCGUUUUGAGCAUUGAACUCCAAGUGUGCAUGGUCUUUUGUAACAACUAACCCGUAGUGUAUUGCACGUGUGUUAUUACUGUUUUUUUUUACAAUAAAUUGCACCUUUGGAUAAUUGGAAGUAAAAGAACUCAAAUAAGUGAAUAGUACAUAAAACGUAUUUUAAAGAAAGGCACUUUAGUAAAAAGUGAAUACCCUUAGCUAAUAUAAUACAAUGUUUAACUGAAUUGCGUUAAUAAAUAAAUGGAGAACAAAAUGUCUACAAAAAAAAGAGCAUAGUAUUUUUGUCAUAAUAUUUUUAAAACAAAUGUGCUAGCGUUUGAAGAUCAUAAAGAGGUUUUAAAGACAAAUUAGUGCACACAUCUUGAAGAACCUUUAACAUUCAUACAUUAGUACUUAAUUUCUCAGGAAACUCUUCAACAGAAGCAACCGAAAAUGAUUAUACCUCCAUGGUUGUCCAAGAAAAAAUGCGCCAACAACAAGGUCUGAAGACUGAUGUUGCUGAAGUCGCAAAUGUUGGUGCAUCAGCAGAGAUAAUGGUAAACCUUAAGCUUGUUUCAGAAGGUGUUACACAGUCACUAAUAGCGUUUUGCUUAAUAUUUAAUCCAGUCUACUGUGCAUCGGAUAGGUCACCCUGAAAUUGUAGUACAAGGAUAUUUUGACAUCACCCUGUCUGAAAAUAAAACCGAAACGUAGAUAUGACUACUUAAGUAACUCUGUCAACCAUUAAAAUAUCGUUAACUUAUUUAUGGUUGCAAUAUUUAACUAAAAGUGAAACAAAGAAAGACAAUAUUUUACGAGUGGUUGAAACUAGCAGUUUGUUUCCUUGGCAGCACAUUAACUCUUUGACAAUUUAUAUUCUUGUUUAUUAUUUUUAUGCAUAGUACACGUUUGAGGCUAGAACAGACUCACAUUAAUCGUAUGAUCUGUAUUUUCUUUGUUCUGCGUGCUUUUCUUGAUAAGACUGACUUCAUUUCCGUUCGCAUUUAACAAGUAAUAUUUUAAUGGUUCGCUCUACACUAAUGACCAGCACAUUGUGUGGUGACUAAAUUGAACAGACGUGUUUAA